CAUACAUUAUCAUGUCAUAGUAUUAUCGUUCGUAUAAAUAUUCAUCAAUAGAAAAUUGCCACCAUAAAAAAAUCUCAGAGCGAUAAGAGAAUGGUAAAUCGCGUGAUUACCGUAUGUUUACAACUAUAUUUGAUCUUCAUGACUGCCGAUAAAAGCAAUGGAUCAUUUCUUAAUGACGAAGUAAUAUACACUAAAAAGGAUAGCAUAUGGACUUUCAAACCUUUCAUCAACAGAGCACUAGGGAAAAGGAAUUAUGAUGGCGUUUUCCGUCUUUCACAAGAAAACCCGCUGGACAUACCUGUCAACAACUAUGAUACUGAUUUAUAUGAAAGCCAGCCAGUACAGAAGCGGUUAGAGUCUAGACGAAAAGUCUAUUUUUUUCGUUCACUUCCAGCGUUAAUAUAUUUUCUUAGAACUAAUUCGCGAUAUUUACAACGUGGUUUAAGAUUUUAGAUGUGUUUUUAACAGAAUAUCUUAUGAAUGCUACUGUUUCUAUAUUUGUAACAGUUAUAAAGUUAAGGCUUAUGGUGAAUAAUAAGCAAUACAACAGCCACAUCUGCUAUUUGUGUUUGCAGACAAACAAUUUCCUAAUACUUCUAUGUGUUUUACUUUUAAACCGUUUAGACAUUUUAAUAAAUAUGGACAUGAAUUUGA